AAAAAAAAAAUACUAAUCUAAUCAGAGAAAAAUUUAUAAAAAUCGUGAACAAAAAUUAUAAUAAAAAAUCAAAAGCCGAAAUCAAAAAAAUUAUUUUAAUUGGAGUAUACUAAUUUUGGAUAAUAAAACUUCAUUUCUUUACGCAACAAAUGCCUUCAGUGUGCCAUCAAGUAUCCUACAGCAGCGACCAGGAUGAAAAGGGGAAGUGAAAUGUUACGUGUUGAAUGUUCAGUCUCUUGUUCCCUCUGAAGGAGUACGUCUGUGACGAUAAUGUGGGAUUCCCUGGAGUAACUGAGCUAUAAAUGGCCAUGGUCGAGUUGCGGACGCAUGUCACAUUUGCAGGGAGAAUUCGUUUCCAACGCUGAUUGUUGUACAUUUUGGUGUGUCUUCGAUGGAGCGAUGGAGCGACGCACAACAAGAAGAUCCUUUCUUAUUCACUCCCAAAUGAAUUUGAAAUUAGUGCUGCUUUGGCAUAGCGCGUCUUCUAGAGAUUCCAGCGGACUACAAAACUUCCUUUAAACUAGAGAGAUAUAUUCGUUUUCCAGCUCCCAAACAUAGGAAGACAGACUGACUUCCCGCCUCUGCCUUCUGUUGAAACUACAUAAAAAAAUAUACAUUUCGUUUCCCCAUCGAUGCCUGCGACGCGAUUUCACUCUGCCUUUGAAGUAGCUUGAAAAUAAAUCCAGCGAUCAGAAGGAUGUAGCAAA